rnacentral:misc_RNA from 1 species
GAAAUUAACUCAUAUAUUAUCCAUAUAAAUUUUCAAACUUAUCUCAGCCGUCGGAUUGUAUACGCUCUUUGACUCUCUUCCUUUAUAUACCCUCUCUUGUUCUCUUUUCUCUCUCGCUUUCCUCCUCCUCGCUUGCCUUAACCUUCUGCUUCAGGGGCUUUCACGGAGUGUUGAGGUUGCAGCUUAUUUCUCUGGAUUUUGCUUUUUGUUUUAUUCUUCAACUUCUCAAUAAAAAUGGCAGUUGAGCUUGUGAGCUUUACAGAAAUGGAAGAUCAGGCUAUACAAGAGACUGCAUCACAAGGCUUGAAGAGUA